AAUGAACGUUGGCGGCGUGGAUUAGGCAUGCAAGUCGAGCGCGAACCGUAGCAAUACGGGGAGAGCGGCGAAAGGGAGAGUAAUAAGUGGAUACCUGCCCUCGGGAUCGGGAUAGCUACGGGAAACAGUAGGUAAUACCGCAUAACAUCUUCGGAUCAAAGGUGUGAUUCCGCCCGGGGAGGGGUUCGCGUCCAAUUAGCUAGUUGGUGAGGUAACGGCCCACCAAGGCGAAGAGGGGUAUGGGGUGUGAGAGGAUGACCCCACUUACUGGGACUGAGACACUGCCCAGACACCUACGGGUGGCUGCAGUCGAGAAUCUUCGGCAAUGGGGGAAACCCUGACCGAGCGACGCCGCGUGCGAGAUGAAGGCCUUCGGGUUGUAAAUCGCUGUCAGGGGGGAGGAAAUGCCGGGAAGUAAUUCAUAAUCAACUCGGUUUGACCUAGCCUCAGAGGAAGGACGGGCUAAGUUCGUGCCAGCCGCCGCGGUAA
rnacentral:rRNA from 1 species